GAGAAUGUUAUCACGGGAGACACACGGCGGGUGCUAACGUCCGUCGUGAAGAGGGAAACAACCCAGACCGCCAGCUAAGGUCCCAAAGUCAUGGUUAAGUGGGAAACGAUGUGGGAAGGCCCAGACAGCCAGGAUGUUGGCUUAGAAGCAGCCAUCAUUUAAAGAAAGCGUAAUAGCUCACUGGUCGAGUCGGCCUGCGCGGAAGAUGUAACGGGGCUAAACCAUGCACCGAAGCUGCGGCAGCGACGCUUAUGCGUUGUUGGGUAGGGGAGCGUUCUGUAAGCCUGCGAAGGUGUGCUGUGAGGCAUGCUGGAGGUAUCAGAAGUGCGAAUGCUGACAUAAGUAACGAUAAAGCGGGUGAAAAGCCCGCUCGCCGGAAGACCAAGGGUUCCUGUCCAACGUUAAUCGGGGCAGGGUGAGUCGACCCCUAAGGCGAGGCCGAAAGGCGUAGUCGAUGGGAAACAGGUUAAUAUUCCUGUACUUGGUGUUACUGCGAAGGGGGGACGGAGAAGGCUAUGUUGGCCGGGCGACGGUUGUCCCGGUUUAAGCGUGUAGGCUGGUUUUCCAGGCAAAUCCGGAAAAUCAAGGCUGAGGCGUGAUGACGAGGCACUACGGUGCUGAAGCAACAAAUGCCCUGCUUCCAGGAAAAGCCUCUAAGCAUCAGGUAACAUCAAAUCGUACCCCAAACCGACACAGGUGGUCAGGUAGAGAAUACCAAGGCGCUUGAGAGAACUCGGGUGAAGGAACUAGGCAAAAUGGUGCCGUAACUUCGGGAGAAGGCACGCUGAUAUGUAGGUGAAGUCCCUUGCGGAUGGAGCUGAAAUCAGUCGAAGAUACCAGCUGGCUGCAACUGUUUAUUAAAAACACAGCACUGUGCAAACACGAAAGUGGACGUAUACGGUGUGACGCCUGCCCGGUGCCGGAAGGUUAAUUGAUGGGGUCAGCGCAAGCGAAGCUCUUGAUCGAAGCCCCGGUAAACGGCGGCCGUAACUAUAACGGUCCUAAGGUAGCGAAAUUCCUUGUCGGGUAAGUUCCGACCUGCACGAAUGGCGUAAUGAUGGCCAGGCUGUCUCCACCCGAGACUCAGUGAAAUUGAACUCGCUGUGAAGAUGCAGUGUACCCGCGGCAAGACGGAAAGACCCCGUGAACCUUUACUAUAGCUUGACACUGAACAUUGAGCCUUGAUGUGUAGGAUAGGUGGGAGGCUUUGAAGUGUGGACGCCAGUCUGCAUGGAGCCGGCCUUGAAAUACCACCCUUUAAUGUUUGAUGUUCUAACGUGGACCCGUGAUCCGGGUUGCGGACAGUGUCUGGUGGGUAGUUUGACUGGGGCGGUCUCCUCCUAAAGAGUAACGGAGGAGCACGAAGGUUGGCUAAUCCUGGUCGGACAUCAGGAGGUUAGUGCAAUGGCAUAAGCCAGCUUGACUGCGAGCGUGACGGCGCGAGCAGGUGCGAAAGCAGGUCAUAGUGAUCCGGUGGUUCUGAAUGGAAGGGCCAUCGCUCAACGGAUAAAAGGUACUCCGGGGAUAACAGGCUGAUACCGCCCAAGAGUUCAUAUCGACGGCGGUGUUUGGCACCUCGAUGUCGGCUCAUCACAUCCUGGGGCUGAAGUAGGUCCCAAGGGUAUGGCUGUUCGCCAUUUAAAGUGGUACGCGAGCUGGGUUUAGAACGUCGUGA
rnacentral:rRNA from 1 species